UACGUAGGGGGCGAGCGUUGUCCGGAUUUAUUGGGCGUAAAGAGCUCGUAGGCGGUUUGAUAAGUCUGCUGUGAAAGUCCAGGGCUCAACCCUGGGAUGCCGGUGGAUACUGUCGGGCUAGAGUGCGGAAGAGGCGAGUGGAAUUCCUGGUGUAGCGGUGAAAUGCGCAGAUAUCAGGAGGAACACCUAUUGCGAAGGCAGCUCGCUGGGACGUAACUGACGCUGAGACGCGAAAGCGUGGGGAGCAAACAGG
rnacentral:rRNA from 1 species